UUAACAGGGCAACAUUUCUUUAGUCCAACUCUUUGUCAGCCACUUACACGAGCGUGGUGGGGCGGAGCCUGGCUGGGGCUCCCCUGGUUGGGGUCAGGUGUGGUGGUGGGGCGGUUGGGCCUCCAAAGGCACCGGCCUGGGGGCCGAGACUCCCAAAGUGGUUAUUUAGCUCGUAGUUGUUGUCGCAGGGGGAGGAGUAGGUUUAUAGUAUGUGAUGACUUGGAUACCCUGCCACAUCCCCUGCCAAUAAUAAUAAUAAUAAUCCUGUUUUUCAAUCCUGUUUUUCAAAAACAAAAAACGAUUUAAAUGUAAACAUGUUGCCAAUAACAUUGUUUUUUUCAAAAAGUAUGAGAAGGAAUCAGGAAUCGGGGGAAUGUUGAUAUGGCAUAAGUGAUAACUAGCAAACUCAAUAGAAAUAAUGAAAAAAGGGAAGUAUCACAUUUGGUUGAAAUUGAAAAACAAUAUAAUAUCCAGUGAGAAAAAGGGUUGGAGAAACUAUUUUUUCAUGUGCAAUUUAUAUUCCCCCAAUGGAAUCUCCAUAUCUCAAUGAGGAGAUUUUCUCCCCUAUAGGAGAAGAGAUCAGUCAUUUCCAGGCCCAGGGAACUGUGCUGGUCACUGGAGAUUUAAAUCCUAGAACUGGAAUAAUUAUGAUAAAAACACAAACAGGAGUGGAAAACAAGUCUUACAGCUUUGUAGAGUGUUGGAUCUGUACAUCUUCAGUGGAAGGCUGAGAGGGGACUCCUUUGGACAGUAUACGUAUUGUUCAAACCUUGGCAGCAGCACUAUUGAUGAUGCUAUAACAGAUUUUGACUAAACCUCUUUGAGAGCCUUCACAGUAAACACAUGCUCUCAGCCAUGUAAACUGUACAAAAUAAAGAAGCGAUGCAGAUGGGCACAAAACAGCCUGGCACAGUACCAGGACGCAAUGGUCAGUGAAGAAAUCCUGUCUGAGCUACCCUCAGAAUACAGACGGUGUAGAGCUGUGUCUGGUAAACAUUAGCCACAUAUUCAAUCAUUUGGUCUCAUUAUCGGACUUAAAAUGCCAAACAAAGACAUGGUUUGAUUCAGACUGCAAAACCAUUAGGAAGACAUUAAGAAAAGUCUCAAAUCAAAAACACAGGAAUCCAGACAGCCAGAAGCUCCGCCUUAGUUACUGUGAGACUCUAAAACAAUAUUGUUGUUAUUGUUGUUACUAACAAUGCCCACAGAGGGCAGGCUGUGCUGUCAUGCUAAUAAAGCCUAUUGAAUUGAGAACAAUUUAGUUGAAUAGUAUGUGUUUGGGAGUGGAUGUGUGUGUUUGUGUGUGUGUGUGUGUGUGUUCUCAUGUUAUUUUACAGCACAUCAGAGCCAUUAAAUACAUCAAGCCUGUUCACACAAAACAUGCUUCUGGGAACUGGACCAAUUAAACUGCAUCACCAUUCACUCUUACUGAAGUCGAACACUACGUGGUGAAGUUACUGAAGUUAUGAAACACAAGACGUGGCGCACAUGGCUCAAGGAUGAAGUGACAUCCCUAUUGGAUACAAGUAUAUAAUACAAUAACAAUCUGAUAGUUGUGCCAUUGUUCACCAUCUUCAAAGGAGCAGGGCCACCUUUAUAUAUCUUUCAUCCACUCCUAGUGGCAAUGGUUUUGAUUGAUCUGCCAAGGUUUUCUGAUGAAUGCAUCUGUCAAUAAAAGUGAGCGGUCUAACCGUA